rnacentral:rRNA from 1 species
AUUGAACGCUGGCGGCAGGCUUAACACAUGCAAGUCGAGCGGAGACGAGGUGCUUGCACCUUAUCUUAGCGGCGGACGGGUGAGUAAUGCUUAGGAAUCUGCCUAUUAGUGGGGGACAACAUUCCGAAAGGAAUGCUAAUACCGCAUACGUCCCACGGGAGAAAGCAGGGGAUCUUCGGACCUUGCGCUAAUAGAUGAGCCUAAGUCGGAUUAGCUAGUUGGUGGGGUAAAGGCCUACCAAGGCGACGAUCUGUAGCGGGUCUGAGAGGAUGAUCCGCCACACUGGGACUGAGACACGGCCCAGACUCCUACGGGAGGCAGCAGUGGGGAAUAUUGGACAAUGGGGGGAACCCUGAUCCAGCCAUGCCGCGUGUGUGAAGAAGGCCUUAUGGUUGUAAAGCACUUUAAGCGAGGAGGAGGCUACUGAGACUAAUACUCUUGGAUAGUGGACGUUACUCGCAGAAUAAGCACCGGCUAACUCUGUGCCAGCAGCCGCCGUAACAC